rnacentral:rRNA from 1 species
GAUGAACGCUGGCGGCGUGCCUAAUACAUGCAAGUCGAGCGAACAGACGAGGAGCUUGCUCCUCUGACGUUAGCGGCGGACGGGUGAGUAACACGUGGAUAACCUACCUAUAAGACUGGGAUAACUUCGGGAAACCGGAGCUAAUACCGGAUAAUAUAUUGAACCGCAUGGUUCAAUAGUGAAAGACGGUUUUGCUGUCACUUAUAGAUGGAUCCGCGCCGCAUUAGCUAGUUGGUAAGGUAACGGCUUACCAAGGCGACGAUGCGUAGCCGACCUGAGAGGGUGAUCGGCCACACUGGAACUGAGACACGGUCCAGACUCCUACGGGAGGCAGCAGUAGGGAAUCUUCCGCAAUGGGCGAAAGCCUGACGGAGCAACGCCGCGUGAGUGAUGAAGGUCUUCGGAUCGUAAAACUCUGUUAUUAGGGAAGAACAAAUGUGUAAGUAACUAUGCACGUCUUGACGGUACCUAAUCAGAAAGCCACGGCUAACUCCGUG